rnacentral:rRNA from 1 species
GACGAACGCUGGCGGCGUGCUUAACACAUGCAAGUCGAACGGAAAGGCCCUGCUUUUGUGGGGUGCUCGAGUGACGAACGGGUGAGUAACACGUGAGUAACCUGCCCUUGACUUUGGGAUAACUUCAGGAAACUGGGGCUAAUACCGGAUAGGAGCUCCUGCUGCAUGGUGGGGGUUGGAAAGUUUCGGCGGUUGGGGAUGGACUCGCGGCUUAUCAGCUUGUUGGUGGGGUAGCGGCUUACCAAGGCUUUGACGGGUAGCCGGCCUGAGAGGGUGACCGGCCACAUUGGGACUGAGAUACGGCCCAGACUCCUACGGGAGGCAGCAGUGGGGAAUAUUGCACAAUGGGCGGAAGCCUGAUGCAGCAACGCCGCGUGCGGGAUGACGGCCUUCGGGUUGUAAACCGCUUUCGCCUGUGACGAAGCGUGAGUGACGGUAAUGGGUAAAGAAGCACCGGCUAACUACGUG